rnacentral:rRNA from 1 species
CGACGUGGGUAACCUGCCCUUUUGUGGGGAACAACUUCGAGAAAUCGGAGCUAAUACCGCAUAAUAAUAGAGGAUCGCAUGAUUCUUUAAGGAAAGAUGGCCUCUGAAGAUGCUAUCGCAAAAGGAUGGACCCGCGUCUGAUUAGCUAGUUGGAAGGGUAACGGCCUACCAAGGCAAUGAUCAGUAGCCGGCCUGAGAGGGUGAACGGCCGCAUUGGGACUGAGACACGGCCCAAACUCCUACGGGAGGCAGCAG